AUUGAACGCUGGCGGCAGGCCUAACACAUGCAAGUCGAGCGGAGCGGAGGACGGGUGAGUAAUGCCUAGGAAUAUGCCUGGUAGUGGGAGAUAACGUCCGGAAACGGGCGCUAAUACCGCAUACUAUCAGAUGAGCCACGGUCGGAUUAGCUAGGUGGUGGGGUAAAGGCAUCCAAGGCGACGAGCCGGAACGGGUCUGAGAGGAUGAUCAGUCACACGGUAACGUAGACACGGUCCAGACUCCUACGUGACGCAGCAGUGGGGAAUAUUGGACAAUGGGCGAAAGCCUGAUCCAGCCAUGCCGCGUGUGUGAAGAAGGUCUUCGGAGUGUAAAGCACUUUAAGUUGGGAGGCGUUACCAACAGAAUAAGCACCGGCUAACUUCGUGCCAGCCGCCGCGGUAAUAC
rnacentral:rRNA from 1 species